GGCCCAGCAGUCCAGGGACCCCCUCAGCUCCAGAGGACCUUCACUGCCCCCACCACCGCUCUCAGCUGCAGAGUAAGGAGGAGGGUUUAUGGAGACCAAGGAGCAGAACACAUGGACAGAUGUUGACAAACUGGCUGCGGGAGAGGAUGUUUCACAUCAGGAUAGUAUUCACAAUCAGCGGACCAGGAGCAUUUUAUCAGUACCAGUGAGUAAGAUAUAGACAGAUGAUCUUUAUUGUCAUUGUAACAUUCAUUUUCAUUCAUU